ACUAAAAUAAAUUAAAAACACUCGCUCACCUCUCUCGGUUCACAACUUACUCCCAACUCACCUCUCUCAUUUAUCUGAAAAUCACCACUCACCACUCACUCCCUCAACACUCACCCACUCACUCAUUCACCACUCAGUCACCCACUCAUUUCUCUAAACACUCAGCCGAGUAUGCAAUCAGAUUUUCAAUUGGGUAUACAAUCGAGUCUGCACCCUCGAUCGGAUCUUGAAUGGAGUCUUCAAUUCGGAUUUCAAUCAGCUCUUGAAUUAGGGUUUUCAAUCGGGGUCUUCUACAGGUUGCUUCUCUCUCUUUGUUAAGGUCUUGAAUGUGCUUAAGUGUUUUUUUAUAUUCUCUCUGUGUUUUUUUUGUAUGUUCUGAUUUGUGACAUUAUUAUGUGUCUCUAUUCCUUUGUGUUUUUUAUUUAUUUACGAUUGUUGUUUUUUUGGUGAAAAUAUAUUUGUAUACAUUGGCUAAAAGAACUUUGUACCAUUUUUGUGUUCCCAAUUUAAAGAGUGACAAAGCACUUUAGUGUUUUCCAUUAUAGCAUAUGAUUUUUGUUUUAAGAAUAUGCAACUUGAAUCGACUAAGAAUACUUGUUAGAACUAGAUUGUGGGAAAGAAUGCUAACUAGAAACCGCUGUUUGAGCUGGUUUUCUAUGAAGAAUGAGUUCUUCUCAUCAGUUUUGAAAUAAAAAACCAACAAGUUGACUAGAAUUCUGUAAUCAUUUUUCACAAGUCUGUGUGACACCUUUUUCAGUACCUCUUAAUUAAUUAAUGUUGGUCCUUUUAGUUAGAAAUAUUUCAAUAGCAUAGCCUUGGUCCUCUUUCAUAUAUCUCUUUUUGGUGCUCUAUUUAUGGUUUCCAAAUUCCAUUCCUUGGUAUAUUGAUAGUCCUCCAAAAAUUUGUGAAAGAUUUUCAAACAAUGAGAUGGCAGUAUGCAAGAUGGAAAACAAGAUCUUGAAAACCGAGAUGGAUUCUAGUCAUUUGAGGCUUGCCUAGAAGCUGCCUGCAGUUGCUUAGAUAAUGAAGCAUGGACUUUGGAGCAAGAAGCUCAUCCGGCAUUAGAUAAGCUGACUUCAAAAAUUAGGUAGAAACAGGACAUCUUCAGAAGGAAGGUGACAUGAAUUUAUAGUGGCUAUCAAUAUACGUCGAAGAUUGUUUCUCCAACUCUAUGAAUUGCUUGCCCCCUGUGCAGUGACACCGCAGACUAUUGAAAAAAUUAGAAUCAGUAGUGGAAAUACAAUCAUUUCUCAUGCAAUAGCUGAAGAGGCAAAUUUGAAGCCAUUGCAAUUGGCAGAACCAGAAAGAAAUAUCAAGUCAUCUAUCCUGCAUAAGUUUGUGAUAUCAGGCAAGGCAAGAAGCAAUAGAACCAGAGGCCCAAUUGGAAACAAAUCCAGAAGAAUCACUAGCCAGUUUACAAGUUGGACAGAAGAUGCACCAAUUGCUUAUCACAGAAGACCCCACAAUGGAGGGCAAGACCAUUAGGUCCGAAGAAACUGUGCAAUGCAUGUGGAGUGAGGUACAAAUCAAGCAGGCUGUUUCGUGAAUACAGGCUGUUGCAUGUGGAGUGGGAAUGUCUCUUAUUAACAAUGAUGUGGUACCUAAGUUAGUUUUAGUUUUAUGCACUCAGUACUUAUUUUUGUGUGGUUGCUGGUUGGUAUAGGCUUGGACCUCUAUUUUUGGUAUUACAAUUAUGUAUGUUGUUGGAUAUUGGUUGGUAAAUUUGCAAUGGGAAGUGCUAUUUUCAAAUGCUA